AGCAUGUCUAGUAUAAGCAAUUAUACCGCGAAACUGCGAAUGGCUCAUUAAAUCAGUUAUCGUUUAUUUGAUAGUACUUUACUACUUGGAUAACCGUGGUAAUUCUAGAGCUAAUACAUGCUAAAAAACCCGACUCACGGAGGGUUGUAUUUAUUAGAUUAAAAACCAAUGCCCUUCGGGGCUUCUUGGUGAUUCAUAAUAACUGGUCGAAUCGCAGGGCCUUGCGCCGGCGAUGGUUCAUUCAAAUUUCUGCCCUAUCAACUUUCGAUGGCAGGGUAUUGGCCUGCCAUGGUUACAACGGGUAACGGAGGGUUAGGGCUCGACCCCGGAGAAGGAGCCUGAGAAACGGCUACUACAUCCAAGGAAGGCAGCAGGCGCGCAAAUUACCCAAUCCCGACACGGGGAGGUAGUGACAAUAAAUACUGAUACAGGGCUCUUUGGGGUCUUGUAAUCGGAAUGAGUACAAUUUAAAUCCCUUAACGAGGAACAAUUGGAGGGCAAGUCUGGUGCCAGCAGCCGCGGUAAUUCCAGCUCCAAUAGCGUAUAUUAAAGUUGUUGCAGUUAAAAAGCUCGUAGUUGAACCUUGGGCCUGGCUGGCCGGUCCGCCUCACCGCGUGCACUGGUUCGGCCGGGCCUUUCCCUCUGGGGAACCCCAUGCCCUUCACUGGGUGUGGUGGGGAACCAGGACUUUUACUGUGAAAAAAUUAGAGUGUUCAAAGCAGGCCUAUGCUCGAAUACAUUAGCAUGGAAUAAUAGAAUAGGACGUGUGGUUCUAUUUUGUUGGUUUCUAGGACCGCCGUAAUGAUUAAUAGGGACAGUCGGGGGCAUCAGUAUUCAAUUGUCAGAGGUGAAAUUCUUGGAUUUAUUGAAGACUAACUACUGCGAAAGCAUUUGCCAAGGAUGUUUUCAUUAAUCAGGAACGAAAGUUAGGGGAUCGAAAACGAUCAGAUACCGUUGUAGUCUUAACCAUAAACUAUGCCGACUAGGGAUCGGAUGAUGUUAUUUUUUGACUCAUUCGGCACCUUACGAGAAAUCAAAGUCUUUGGUUCUGGGGGAGUAGUCGAAGUUCUCUUAA
rnacentral:rRNA from 1 species